CAAACAAAUCACUCUUCUCUCCACAGCAGUCAAGGACAGUGUUUCUCUCUUUCAUUUCCUUCAACCAGGCAGGGUUUCCCCUUACCUUUCAUUGAAGAAACCUUUGGUUGAAUCAUUCACAUUCUUGAAAAAUUGUCUAACUGUUAACAGGUUUCUUUUGGGUCUUGCUUAUUUUUUUGGAAAAUGAGCUUUUGGGUAGUUUAAAAUUCUUUUAAAAAAGUUAAAACGCUAGUUGAUUUGGUCGCUUUCUGAAGCAUCUUUUGUUUUGGUAGACCUUGUGGGGUUUUUCCCAUUUUGACACUUUUUUCUACAAGUGUAAUGUCGGUUAUAGAAAUCUGCUUUCUUUUCUUUAAAGUAGUGAAAUGCUGAAAUAAAAAAACUUGUGAGGCAGUUUUUGCCUUUUUGGGAGGGGUUUUGAUCACUGUACAUGUUCUUGCUGGGGUUUUAGUGAAAGAGCCAUCUUUGAAGAGUCUUGGGUUGGUUGCUGGGUAAUCUACUUUGGCAAGCUUAAAUGGUAAUGGGAUCACAAAUCCUUGGGAGUUUUUAAGGGUUUAGUUGAAGUUUUGAAGUGAAAGGCUCUGGAAAGAAAUGUACUUUCAAUGGCCUCACUGUUAAGGAUUUUGUUCACUUUCUGCUGCAGUGCUGCUUCAGUAGGUUUUGAGGGAGAAAUGAUUCUACUUUUUUCUGUUUUAGAGCUUCUGGUUAUGUACCCAUUGCUUUGAAAGCACCUCUACGGUUGAAAACUUGGGCUGCUUCAGUGGUUUUUUUUUCUUGUGUAAGCUUAGAUCUUUCAGAUUUCUUGUGCAUCAUAUGCUUGCUUCAAAUAGGUUCAAAGGGCCUGGAUUUUAACAGUCGCCAUUGAAGGAGAUUUUGGGGCUCAAUUUACUGGUUCUUCUCUUGGCAUUUUGCUUGGAGAUCUGCCAUUUGUCUAGCCAAAAAUUUUGAGAGAAAAGAAGGUACCUUUGCUGGAAUAAGAAUAUUGUUCUCUAGUUGGAAGUUACUUUCUGAAUAUCUUGGUUUAAUUCUGGGAUCUACAAGACUAAUUUAAUAUAUCAAAGAAUCUAAUUUCUAAGGUGAGAAAAGAAAAGCUUAUUUGGCAGCAGAAAAAGUGCAGCAGAUGGAUUUCUUGAAAGUUAAGAAGUUUAGGAAAGCCCACAAGCCAGACCCUGAAAAGGAUUUGGAGGAUAAGCCUGUGCCGCAGCCCGAAGAACUGACGAAUGAGAAUGGUGCUACUGAGGGUGCUGCUGCUGGUGACAAUGAUUUAAAUAAAUCAUCCGAAGCUGACGCUGCAGCUGAAGUUGAGGAUGAUGAUGACGAAUUUAUAACAAAUGAGGUGAAAAGGAGAUUGAAGGAACUAAGAAGAAACAGUUUUAUGGUGUUGAUUCCUGAAGAAGAAGAGGAGUCGUUCCCGGAGGACGAGGAAGAGGAGGCUGGUGAGACCAGCUCUAGUGAGUGGAGGGAUGUGGAAGCAGAAGGUAGACAAUGGUGGGGUGGUUUUGAUGCUGUUUAUGAAAAGUACAGUGAGCGUAUGCUUUUCUUUGAUCGGAUGAUUGCACAGCAGCUCAAGGAAGCUGGCUUCAGAAAUCAUUCAACUCCAUCACCUAAAUCUGCAUCUAAGAAGCUUGCAUCCCCCCUGCGAUGCCUUUCAUUGAAGAAGAUUGAAGAACCUGAUGAAGAAACUAAGCACCUACAGCAGCCAAUGAAUAACCCAUAUCAGGAUCUUGAAACAGCAUAUGUAGCUCAAAUUUGCUUAACUUGGGAGGCACUUCAUUGCCAAUACACUCAACUCUGCCAGAUAGUUUUAUGCCAACCUGAGAAUCCCACCUGUUACAACCAGAGUGCUCAGCACCUCCAACAGUUCCAGGUCUUAUUGCAAAGGUUCAUUGAAAAUGAACCUUUUCAAGAAGGUCUCAGAGCUGAAAUUUAUGCCCGUGCUAGGAAUAUUUUGCCUAAGCUGCUUCAAAUUCCAAACAUACAAGUUAACGCACUGAAACAAGGCUUCGUUCAAGUUCAGAUCAUAAGGAAAAGGUGGAAGAGGAAUCAAAUUAUUUGGUCCAUGCCCCUGAUAUCAUCAGGAUUAUUGAGAACUCAAUCCUGACAUUCCAGCUGUUUGUAAAAAUGGACAAGAAAAAACAUAGUAGCGUUCUUAACUUGUUUGGAAACCAGAAUCCAAUGGCUACUCCUCUUCAACAAGUUCAAUCUUUGUUAAUGAAGAAAGGGAUGAAGAUAAAGGAAUUGUGUAAAAAAAGAAGAGGGUGGAAGAAGAAAUCGUGGCCACAAACAUGUGAGGAUGUUCCUUUGUUGUUUGGCCUCAUUGACAUCAAAAUUGUAUCCAGGGUUCUCAGAAUGGCAAGGAUCAGUAAAGAGCAGUUGUUCUGGUGUGAAGAAAAGAUGAAAAAACUAGAUUUAUGUGAUGGGAAAUUGCAAAGAGAUCCAUUGCCCAUCCUUUUCCCUUGUUGAUAGCUGUAAGGAAUGAUUAACAAGGCUGGUUAAAUGGACAGUUAGCUGCAGAAAGGCCCCUCUAUUUUUCAUUAAAACUUCAGUGUUGCUACUACUUUUCAUCUGGGAUGAUAAAAACAUGCUUUCUAUAAUUUUUGAUUGACUGAUAUGAUAGCAGAUGGUUUGGAUUAGGUUGAUGGCCUUGAUUGCCAUUUUCCAGUUUGUUGAUUAAAUUACUUGAAGUUGAUUGAUCUGCUCAAUGACAUUCAAAGUCAAUCAGUGUGUUUAUCAUCCUAACGAGGUUUUCUUAUUCAAAACUAGGAAAGGAGUAUGGAAAGUAGAGGCCUUUCUGCAGCAUUUUCCCUAGAAGCAGCAGUCCAUUGAACCAGAAUUGUGGUUAGCUUGUUGUAUUUAGGAUAUGUUGUAUGUAGUGGAUAUCGUCUGAGAAGUAAAUGUCUAAAUAUUUUAUUUUCUGGGGGCCUUCUCUUGUUAACCUACUGUUUAUUUCUUUCAAUCAACCCAAGGUUCGUUUUGAUUAGUGGCCUUGCGACGGAAAACUUAA